rnacentral:rRNA from 1 species
GCAAGUCGAACGAAGCACCUUACCGGAUUCUUCGGCUGAAAGUUUGGUGAGUGAGUGGCGGACGGGUGAGUAACGCGUGGGUAACCUGCCCUGUACAGGGGGAUAACAGCUGGAAGCGGUUGCUAAUACCGCAUAAGCGCACGAGGAGACAUUUUCUUGUGUGAAAAACUCCGGUGGUACAGGAUGGGCCCGCGUCUGAUUAGCUGGUUGGCAGGGUAACGGCCUACCAAGGCAACGAUCAGUAGCCGGUCUGAGAGGAUGAAC